rnacentral:rRNA from 1 species
UACGGAGGGUGCAAGCGUUAUCCGGAUUUAUUGGGUUUAAAGGGUGCGUAGGCGGUUUGAUAAGUCAGCGGUGAAAUAUUUCAGCUUAACUGGAAGGGUGCCGUUGAUACUGUCGAGCUUGAAUUUAGUUGCUGUGGGUGGAAUGUGUGGUGUAGCGGUGAAAUGCAUAGAUAUCACACAGAAUAUCGAUUGCGAAGGCAGCUCACAAAGCUAAUAUUGACGCUGAUGCACGAAAGUGUGGGGAUCAAACA